rnacentral:rRNA from 1 species
AUGAACGCUGGCGGCGUGCCUCAUACAUGCAAGUCGAGCGAACAGAUGAGGAGCUUGCUCCUCUGACGUUAGCGGCGGACGGGUGAGUAACACGUGGAUAACCUACCUAUAAGACUGGGAUAACUACGGGAAACCGGAGCUAAUACCGGAUAAUAUAUUAAACCGCAUGGUUCAAUAGUGAAAGACGGUUUUGCUGUCACUUAUAGAUGGAUCCGCGCCGCAUUAGCUAGUUGGUAAGGUAACGGCUUACCAAGGCAACGAUGCGUAGCCGACCUGAGAGGGUGAUCGGCCACACUGGAACUGAGACACGGUCCAGACUCCUACGGGAGGCAGCAGUAGGGAAUCUUCCGCAAUGGGCGAAAGCCUGACGGAGCAACGCCGCGUGAGUGAUGAAGGUCUUCGGAUCGUAAAACUCUGUUAUUAGGGAAGAACAAAUGUGUAAGUAACUAUGCACGUCUUGACGGUACCUAAUCAGAAAGCCACGGCUAACUACGUG